UCCCUGGUGGACUAGUGGUUAGGCCACAGCACUCUCACCGCUGUGGCCCGGGUUUGAUUGCUGGCAAGGGAA
rnacentral:tRNA from 1 species